rnacentral:misc_RNA from 1 species
AACGCACAUUGCGCCCCUUGGUAUUCCGAGGGGCAUGCCUGUUCGAGCGUCAUUAUGACCAAUCACGCCCUGUGCGUGGACUUGGGGGUUCGCGAUUCCGCGUCCCUUAAAAUCAGUGGCGGUGCCGCUGGGCUCUAAGCGUAGUAAUUCUUCUCGCUACAGGGUCUUGCGGUUGCUUGCCACAACCCCAACUUUCUUAGGUUGACCUCGGAUCAGGUAGGGAUACCCGCUGAACUUAA